GACGAACGCUGGCGGCGUGCUUAACACAUGCAAGUCGAACGGAAAGGCCCUGCUUUUGUGGGGUGCUCGAGUGGCGAACGGGUGAGUAACACGUGAGUAACCUGCCCUUGACUUUGGGAUAACUUCAGGAAACUGGGGCUAAUACCGGAUAGGAGCUCCUGCUGCAUGGUGGGGGUUGGAAAGUUUCGGCGGUUGGGGAUGGACUCGCGGCUUAUCAGCUUGUUGGUGGGGUAGUGGCUUACCAAGGCUUUGACGGGUAGCCGGCCUGAGAGGGUGGCCGGCCACCUUGGGCCUGAGGUACGGCCCAGACUCCUACGGGAGGCAGCAGUGGGGAAUAUUGCACAGUGGGCGGAAGCCUGAUGCGGCAGCGCCGCGUGCGGGAUGACGGCCUUCGGGUUGUAAACCGCUUUCGCCUGUGACGAAGCGUGAGUGACGGUAAUGGGUAAAGAAGCACCGGCUAACUACGUG
rnacentral:rRNA from 1 species